UAGACAACUCCGCCUGUAGCUCUUAUAGAGUGACUGCCGGUCCCAAGCCCGGGUAAAGGAGGAGGGUUAG
ncrna:Schistosoma mansoni type-P1 twister ribozyme